rnacentral:misc_RNA from 1 species
AACAAGGCGUACCUGCGGACCUGCGGAAGGAUCAUUAAAAAGAGUGUGUACCCCUCUGUAAAAUGAGUGGGUUACCUCCCGUCCUUUGUUGACCUCUUAGGAGGUUAUUUUGAACUUUCUGCUUCGGUGGGGUUAAACCUACCGGAACACCCUCAAAUUCUUAUCAUUUAAAAAUUGUUCAGUCUGAUUUUUGUUAAUAAAAACAAAAAACUUUCAACAAUGGAUCUCAGAUCGGAAGAG